rnacentral:lncRNA from 1 species
GUCCGGAGGAUUUAUCCGUAGGACCAUCCGUAAUUAACCGAAGUAGGACCAUCCAUAUGGGCCAAAGAAAGGUCCAGGUGAUUUAUCCGUAGGACCAUCCAUAUGGAGGGAAGUAGUCCUACGUCCGCAGUCCGCAGGGCCAAAGAAAGGUCCAGGUGAUUUAUCCGUAGGACCAUCCAUAUGGAGGGAAGUAGUCCGGAGGAUUUAUCCGUAGGACCAUCCGUAAUUAACCGAAGUAGGACCAUCCGUAAUUAACCGAAGUAGGACUAUCCAUAUUCAGGAGCGGAAUCCAGAAUAGACCUCUCUUUCUCCGGACCAGAAACUCAAAGUUUGAACAAACUAUGUGAAUUUCGAAAAUCAAAUAGGACAAUGCCUUGCAAUUUCCCGGCUUUUUUGCUUCUUUUUCAUAGUCAAUCUCAUAUUUCUAUUGAACGAUAAAAGUACUUUUUUGACUGAUUUUUCAUGAUUUCUUGCUACUUCCCUAUGGGCAAAACCUAGCAUUUCCCUCCGUCUUCAAUCUAGCAGAUUAAUCUGAAAUCUAGCUCUUCAAUCUAGCAGAUUCAUUUUGAGCUUCUUUAAUUCUCGUUAAUGAGCUCUCUUUUCUUUUCUUUUUUCUUUGAUAGUGAACUUCCACGCAAUAUUCUUUGCGCCUCUAGUAAAGCUUUUUUUGUUGCCAAAAAGAAAGGCGAGAAGACAGGUCCGGAGGCGCGCCAUAAGACAGGUCCGAAGGACUAUCCAUUAGGGGAUUGAGAAUAGCCAAUUAUAUAGAAUCUUUGACCCUCUCCUUGGGACUCCCGGAUUUCCAUACAUAUGUCUCAACUAGGCUAAUCUCAUAUUUUGCAUUUUAGUCAAAUUCUUUGAAAUGAAAAUACCUUUUAAUUAAUAAGCACUCGGUCACGACUUAUGGUGGUAUUUAAUUGAGUAUAUCUACUAACAAAUAUCUUUUUUCAUUCGGCAUCCACUACCAUUACCAUGCGUGGUACCAGCAGUUUCCACUUUUUCUAUACAGAGGAACCUCCCGAGUGGCACCUUUUGGGGGUUCAUUUUCUUCAUGAAAGCAAGAGAGUGCAACAAUCCUUUCCUUUGACACUGGUCCUGUAAACGAGUGAAAAAUGCCUUGUACAGUUUUUCUUUUCCCUUGAAGCCAGUCCAAGAGUUCAGUUCACUCGAAAGCGGCUCUUAGAUAUUUGCUUUGAACCGGUUCCGCCCCACCCCCUUAUAGUAAGUACUGGUGAGAGGAAAAGAGCGCUUCUGCCCUUUACCCAAACAGUACAAGAAUGGCAAUCCACCUAUUGGUGUGCUCCUGCCCUCAACCGACCUGAUCGUCCCAAUCCGGUUGUCCUCACUAAAAAAAGAUCCACAAUCUCUUAUCUAAUUCAUAUGAAUUUCUUAUCUAAUCUUCCUUUGCCUAGCUGCCCAUUGCUAGAACUUCCAGCGCGUCGGGGGGUUGGUGUGGUAAGGCAAGCAACUCCUCUUUCCGAAGAAGAGUGCCGAGCUAUCUUAAAGUAAAGCUCUAACGGUUAGCUAUAGGUAAAGUUCUCCCAGAGCUGGAGACAGAGGCCGCUACUCCUUCAGAAACCGGAAAUCCGCAAGGAAGGAUAGGACAGAGAAUAAGGACCUAAAGUUCUUUGUCGGAUGAGACCGAGAACCGAAAGAUGUCUAUCAAAGAGCGAGAGGGACUGACUAGACCGCUGUCAACCAGCUCUGAAGGUUGCAAAGCCUGACGAGUGCCCCUGAACGGAAGGAAGGAAAGACAGAGAGAACUUUAUCCUAGCUACCGGGGAAGGGGAGAGGAGAACAGAGAUAACCGUCAAACUACGCAAUGGAUAGUCCGAAGGCAGGAAAAAUAGGGCAAUAUUCUCAAUAUUCAAAGAGCCCUUCUUUCUCUCUCCAUUUCAUGCGCCUCAAAUUCUUUGAGCCUCUCCUCCAAAGUCAAAUUCUCUAAUGGAUAGUCAUCUGCACCUUUCAGUCGUCCGGAGGCAGGUCGCAAUAUUCUUUGCGCCUCGUUGCGCUCCUUAACAGUCCGGAGGACUAUCCCUCAAAUUCAAAGAGCCUACGGACGACUGAAAGGUGCGAAGCAAAGAGCGCGAGACUAGAGAGGAGAGGUGCAAAGAAUAUUGCGAGGAGUGCAAGGCGCAAAGAAUAUUGCCGGCCUGAGGCGCAUCAAAAAAAGGGUUGAAGAUGAGCUUGAUUUUUCAUUGAGCCUGAAGUAGAGAAACCUACAAAUAAGAGAAUACCUGCCAAAAGCUUCACCUCGGUCAACCUUUGGAAUACAGAUUGUCGAGCCGCCGACAACUCCCAGGGUUCACUAAAACAGAGGUACUCCGCGAAAGACUAUUGAGUGACCUGUCGAGCUAAUCCGACACCAAGUGGGCCGCACCUCUGAGGACUCAAUAUGAAAAAAAUCUUCGGUCGCAGAAAGUCUUUUAAGAAAAAGGCUUUCCCACUUAUUGCUCACAACAGGAUAACUGAAACCUCCACUGCAACUACCAUCGUUAGGGGCUUAGCUUACAACAGGAACUGCGGAUAUAUCUUUCUCUUUUGCCUUAAAGACAGAAGAACUAUCAUCAAUAUGGAUCAAAAUCAGUCCCACUAUUUCAACUUUGCGACUGAGUAGGCGAGUGUCCAGGUGGUCCCUCAAUAAUAAGGGAUAGCUCUGACUUUGAAAGCUAAGAAAUCUUUCUAUUCCUUGAAACUGUCUUCCCGACAGUGCUACCGCGGAGUGGGGUUGAAUCAAGCUAUUAGCGAUAUGGGAUUGAGAAUGAAUUUGAGAAUUCUAUUUCUGGUGAGAUUAGAAUAUUGUCAAACUAUGCGGGCCAAUCGGAAAUUCCUUCUUUGCCAUAAAUUGAACUCUCAAUUGGGGAUGGGUUCAGCUUCUUCUGUGUUUGGAAAUAGCGGGUGGCUGUCUUAUCCGCCCGGACAAGAAGUCAAGGUAAGCUUCCAAAGCUCCCUCCUGCCCGCUGACUGGCCACGAUAAUAAUGAAAGGAAGAGUUUGAGCCACAACUAUUUAUUAUAGUUGGCAAGGCUUUUUCGGGGACUAGCCCGCUUCCCAUUACUCGACGAGGGAAAUUCCUCGCACAUAAUUAAGGGAGCCAUUGAAAGGUGACUGAAAGACCAGAAAAAAGAAACUUACCCACCCUGAUAGAGGCAAGAAGACUUUCCGGCCAGGCCUGACUAUAACCAACCUCACAGAUCCCACUCAAUCUUUUACACCGAUGUAUCAUACUCGGAAGACCAGGUCAUCAUAAGAAAAUACUGCUAAAUCUUUCCGAAGUGAGAGAAGGCGCAAAGAUCGUGGCCCACUCCUUCGGUUAAUUACGGAUAGUCCUACGGAUAAAUCCUGCGGACGUAGGACUUCUUCUUCUUUAAAAAGAAGGGUCCAGGUGACCGUCCUUCGCAAAUUCUUUGCGCCUAACUACGGGUGCAAAGAAUAUUGCGAGUUGAAGAGCCAGCUGAAAAAGGCUAGCUAGCUAGGCUAGCGCGCAAUGGCUUUCUCUGCCUUGGGAAAGCUUCUUCAAGCUCCGCCCAACCUAUACAAGGUGCUGCUCGCUUUCUCUCAGCCACAAGUGGCUUAUUUAUGUAGUGGUCGGCAUUCCUACGUGCUCCUCCUUUCCUUGCUCACCGACUGAAUAAUCUAAAAGUGAGAAAGGGAUGUUGUCGUGAGGCUUUGGUGUAGAAGGUUGCCGGGGUCUAGGUUUAUGGAUGGAUUCAGUCAACGAAAGUCCCUCAAACUCAAUCAAGAUCAACCACUAUUUGAACCUCUCCCCUUUGAAAAGAAAGUAGGAGAAGGGGGUUCAUUUCUUAGUAAACCUCCGGUGCUGGUAAGGUCGGGACCGUGGUCGUCCGUCUCCGCUUUGCCGGCCGAUAAGAUCUUUGAGAUUGACCAGCCAGCUGGGUUGCUUUGGCUAUUCCUUUCUAUUGAAAAGGAGUCAGCUGUCUGCGCGAGUAACCUUCUGAUAGGCUUCGCUGGACGACACGGCAUUCUCGUUCAAAUAUAGGCCGGCCGUACUUGUGAUGGUUCCCAAGGAUCCAAUAUGACCACUUAGGUCUACGUUGCCACGAUAUUGUUCUAUGGAAGCGGGCGGGCAAGUUCGGCCCGGUUUUUUUUGUCUCGUAGGGGAGGGAUUGACCUUUCUAACGCAUAUUCAGUCGUACCGGCAUGGCCCCACUUUUUCUCGAUCGGAGCAUCCAGCAGCGCAACCCGGUUCUACUUGACUAAGCCCCGUGCUCGUCCAAGGAGGGAGUUUGCUUUACCCAACUCUCUUUUUGAUAAGAAGGCGGAACCCCCCGACCCAAGAUUCAUUAGUUUCUCAUGAUCAAUAAGGCAACUGCAAGCAUCUACUCCUAGAGAAAUGAAAAGCGGAGCUUUAGGCUUUACUAAUAACAAGGUAAGGCCGGGAGCUCUAGCUUUACAAGGAUAGAGCUUAGAUAGGGACCUUUCUUAUUAUGAGUAUAAGGUUUGAAAAAGGCGUAGACAAGAGAUCAAUGAACGAUCAAUGAACAAGGUGAAAGCAAUCAAAAAAGUUCAGACUCGACCGCCUUGAUUCUGCCUCCAAAAGCAUUGAACCGAAGGUGCAAAGUGCGGCUAUGAGAAAAUAGCGAGACCUGUCUCAUUGAUAAGGACAUAUAUAUUAGCUUUCUGGCUUUCUUUUCUUAUGAGAACUCUGAUGUCUCAAAGAUUCCACAGGUCCGAAGGACAGACAGGUUAAUAUGGAUAGUCCGAAGGACGGGAUUUCUUUCUCACGCAACCCCGCAUAUUUCAUUCCGCCUUCGGACCUGUCUUAUGGCACCUCUCAACAACAGUUCUUCCCGCUCAAAUUUCAUUCAGCCUCCAAAGUCAAAUUCUCUAAUGGAUAGGCCUUCUCGCAAUAUUCUUUGCGCCUUCCAGUCGCUUCGCUUCGGGCCUCCGUAGCUUAAUAUGGGGGAUGGAGGAGGACUAUUCGCUAUUCUAAUAUUUACGGUAUAAACAAGUCAAAAGGACUUUUUAUCAAUGAUCUUUGCUCCUCCGGACUACUUCCUUCCAUAUGGAUGGUCCUACGGAUAAAUCCUGCGGACUCCGGACUAUCCAUUAGAGGAGUGUGAGUGCAGAGGCAAGGACGGUUUUCAAAGCAAAGAAAGCCCUAUACAUGAAUUUCAGGCGGUCUAAAAGAGGUUUUCAAAAGUCAGACUAAUCAAUGAAAGAGGAGAAUCUUUGGAGAAUGAAGAGGUCGGCUAAUAUAUAGGUAAUAAGGAAAAGUGACCCACGGAGCGGAAUAAAGUCAAUGAACAGGUCCUCCGGACUAUCCAUAUUAACCCUUGAAGGAGAUUGAUGCCUCCAAGAACAUUCAGUUCCAUAAAGAAGUCCGCCUUUUUUUAGAGGACGAAAUUGAGUGUCGAGCUAGUAGGAAGAAAAAGAUCUUUUUUAUCUAAAGAGCGUAGUAGAAGUCUGAAUUCUGCAUUCUCUCUUUUUUUUGCGGAGCUCCUUUUUAGUGGACGCUACUUGAUUAUGGGGGGAUGAGACUCUACCCUAAUCACUUUGAUUCCAUUGACUUUGAUUCCGUCCGGAUUGCUCGCCUUCUCCGCCAUAAGAAUGAAAUUCCAUAAAGAGGUCCAAGAACAAUCAGUGGAAUUCUCACAAGUCCGACUAUCGAUGAACCCUGUAAGUCGUUCUAACCUCUCGGUUGAGUACAUCGACCCUUUCCUCUAAUACGCCCUGAUUCUAGUAGACGCGUCGACGUCUUUUGAAAGGACUUGCUUUGGUAUAGGCUUUGAAUAAGGCUCGUUCCCGGCGCUCACCUUUUUUGGCUGAAAUCGCGAAUUGGUAAAGACCCACCCCUUGUUUCAGUCAGAAUGAGUCCCCGGGACCCCGGGACAUUGGCUUCCGCCAACAGUGGACUAUUAAGGAUCGCAUCCCGCGCAUAUUCUACAUUAUAGCCUGCAACUGAUUCAGCUUCCGCUUCUGGGAGAUCAAAGGGAGCUCGAUUAGUUUCUGCUAGACGAGAAAUAAAGAACAUAACCAAUACAGGGAACAAGGGAAUACCGGACCAUAUCUGCUUUUGCGCCAUGACAAUCUCACUCGAAUUACGGGGACCUACACAUAUUAGUACAGUAUACCGGGGUCCCCGGCCAGAACCACACGUGCAAGUUUCCCUGCAUGUGGCUCGUCCGUGCUUUCCGAGGCGCUGCCUGCUGUGACUCAGCAUGGGAGAAGGGGGCGGAACUGCACACUUGAGUGUGAAGAGCACUCUGAAGUGACUGACGAAACUGAUCAUUCUUCUUAUGCUUCCGAAACAUCUGACGAAAGAUCUCAUACGAACAAGAAAGACCUAUGAAACUCUUAUUCAUGAAAUGACCUCAUUACCUCUUUGAAUGCCUUUAUCUCAAAGUUCUAGCUUGAGCUUUCUUGACGACUGGGCUGGUUCCUCGCCAACAAAUUGGAUUUCGAUCUUGGGGAAAGCCCCAGGAAAGUCUAGGUUGGCUUCCAGCUCCAUCUCGGCCGGCAUCCUGCUCUCGAGGGGGUGGAGUCCUGGAGCGAACUACUCAUUGCUGUCUUGCCCCAAUCCCUUGAAGGGCUUUUGGGGAGGAGCAUUGUUGGAGGGAAAGGCGUGGUUGACAAGCCACUUCGAGGAGGCGACUGGACUGGAGUGCUUUCAUCAAGCAUGUGGGCUGAGCCAUUCCCACCACUUGGGGUGGCCCGAUUCGGCCUGGUCGGGAAGAGAUGAAGAUAGAGACUCUUACGUUACGGGAAUCUCUUUCUAUGUUAGCGGGAGGGGGCCUUCCUAUGGUAGUCCCGCUGCGGCCUCUGACCGUCCGUCCCGUCUCAUCUUUCUUUGGCUAUACUUGGAUGUAGCCAGCCAUCUUAGCUUCACAUGAGAGAGUUAGCCUUUAAGGCUCUGCACUCAUCAGUCAGCUCGGCCCCUUUCCUAUUCCCCUUUGCCGCCUUUUAAGAGAAUAGGUCCCGUUGAAGCGGCCCGCCUUUAUGAAUCUAUACCAGCUGCCACGCACGACCCAAUAGGAACUAUCAUGAAACUCGAAAGAAAGAAGUUGAAAACAUAAGAUAUAAGUCCCAUAAAUAAGAGAGACGGACGUAGAAUAUUGCUCGGAAACUUCAGCAUUAUUAGGAGAUAGAUAGGGGAGGGUCCGAAGCCUUAAUUUGACUUCCAUUGACUUUUUCUUCCUUCCAUAAGGACUCAAACCUUUGUUCAUUGAUUCAGUCCGAAGGACUUCGCAAUAUUCUUUGCGCCUCUUUGAGCCUCCCCAUUUUUUCUUACGCCUGGAGAUACUUUCUUCUAGAGGAGAAGGCCUGAAUAUGGAUCAAAAUCAGUCCCACUAUUUCUUAAUAUGGAUAGUCCUCGAAUAUGAAUUCAUCCUCCGUUAGGCGCAAAGAAUAUUGCGUGGAACCACCCGGAGAGAAGGUUUUUUUUCCAUUAAUCAGUCCCUCUUUUCAAAGUCAGAGCUAUCCAAAAUCAUGAAGCAGAAGGCUCAAAGAAUUUGAGGAUAAGGGAUAUUGAUUCUUUGGU